rnacentral:rRNA from 1 species
AUGGACACCAAUAGAGCACCUGGACCCGAUAAUAUUCCAGCAGAGUUCUAUCGAUUCUAUUGGGAUGUUGUUAAAGAUGAUAUUAUGAACUUGUUUAAGGCCUUUCAUGAAAGGACGCUGGAUGUAGAGAGAUUGAAUUAUGGGACUAUUACCCUGAUUCCUAAAAUUAACGGGGCCAAAAAUAUCCAAGAAGUUCGACCUAUUUGUCUUUUGAGAUGCCCCUAUAAGUUGAUCACCAAAGUUUUGGAUAACAGGGUUGCCGUGUUUGCUUACAAACUUAUCAGUCGCCACCAAAAUGCUUUUAUCAAGAAACGUAAUAUCAUGGAUGGGAUCCUGACAUUGCACGAAAUUCUACAUCACACUCAUGUCAAGAAGAAAACAUGA